rnacentral:miRNA from 1 species
UAGCUCUAGCUGAUGUAGCA